GAUGAACGCUGGCGGCGUGCCUAAUACAUGCAAGUCGAGCGAACAGACGCGGACCUUGCUCCUCUGACGUUAGAGGCGGACGUGAGAGUAACACAAGGAUAACCUACCUAUAAGACUGGGAUAACUUCGGGAAACCGGUGCUAAUACCGGAUACUAUCUUGAACCGCGUGGUUCAAUAGUUAAAGACGGUUUUGCUGUCCCUUCUAGCUGGAUCCGCGCCGCAUUAGCUAGUUGGUAAGGUAACGGCUUACCAUGGCCACGGUGCGUUGCCGACCUGCGAGGGUGAACCGGCCCACGGGAAGUGAGACACCGUCCAGGGUCCGACGGGAGGCCGCAGCAGGGAAGCGUGCGCGAUGGGGGGAAGCCUGACGGAGCAACGCCGGGUGGGUGAAGAAGGGCCGCGGAUCGGAAAACUCUGUUAUUAGGGAAGAACAAAUGUGGAAGUAACGAUGCUCGUCGUGACGGUACCUAAUGAGAAAGCCACGGCUAACUACGUG
rnacentral:rRNA from 1 species